rnacentral:misc_RNA from 1 species
UUUCCGUAGGUGAACCUGCGGAAGGAUCAUUAAAGUUAUAGUCCCCCGGCCCUCUGGGCUGGGGUCUUCUAUACCACCCUUUGUUUAUUACACCUUUGUUGCUUUGGCAGGCCUGCCCUCGGGCUGCUGGCACCGGCCGGCUCGCGUCUGCCAGAGGACCUAAACUCUGUUUGUAUAUGAAGUCUGAGUACUAUAUAAUAGUUAAAACUUUCAACAACGGAUCUCUUGGUUCUG